rnacentral:rRNA from 1 species
CGAACGGAUCCUUCGGGAUUAGUGGCGGACGGGUGAGUAACACGUGGGAACGUGCCUUUUGGUUCGGAACAACUCAGGGAAACUUGAGCUAAUACCGGAUAAGCCUUUCGAGGGAAAGAUUUAUCGCCAUUAGAGCGGCCCGCGUAGGAUUAGCUAGUUGGUGGGGUAAAGGCCCACCAAGGCUACGAUCCUUAGCUGGUCUGAGAGGAUGAUCAGCCACAUUGGGACUGAGACACGGCCCAAACUCCUACGGGAGGCAGCAGUGGGGAAUCUUGCGCAAUGGGCGAAAGCCUGACGCAGCCAUGCCGCGUGAAUGAUGAAGGUCUUAGGAUUGUAAAAUUCUUUCACCGGGGACGAUAAUGACGGUACCCGGAGAAGAAGCCCCGGCUAACUUCGUGCCAGCAGCCGCGGUAAUACGAAGGGGGCUAGCGUUGCUCGGAAUUACUGGGCGUAAAGGGAGCGUAGGCGGAUAGUUUAGUCAGAGGUGAAAGCCCAGGGCUCAACCUUGGAAUUGCCUUUGAUACUGGCUAUCUUGAGUACGGAAGAGGUAUGUGGAACUCCGAGUGUAGAGGUGAAAUUCGUAGAUAUUCGGAAGAACACCAGUGGCGAAGGCGACAUACUGGUCCGUUACUGACGCUGAGGCUCGAAAGCGUGGGGAGCAAACAGGAUUAGAUACCCUGGUAGUCCACGCUGUAAACGAUGAGUGCUAGUUGUCGGCAUGCAUGCAUGUCGGUGACGCAGCUAACGCAU